AAAUAAAUAGAGUUUAUGUUAAUUAAGAGAUAUAAUAAAAUAAUGAAAAUAAAAAAAUAAAUAGAUUUUGUAAAAUUGAUUUAAACUUAAAUAAAAUUAGGUGUUAGUACCCAAAUGUGUGUUACAAAAUUGAAACCAUAGAACCUAAACCUGUUAAAAAAAUAAGUUAGUACCCAAAGACGAAAUUAUGUAUAAACCACAGGAUCCAUUUGUGUAAUUA
rnacentral:lncRNA from 1 species